rnacentral:rRNA from 1 species
GAUGAACGCUGGCUACAGGCUUAACACAUGCAAGUCGAGGGGAAACGGCAUUGAGUGCUUGCACUGAAUGGACGUCGACCGGCGCACGGGUGAGUAACGCGUAUCCAACCUUCCCGUUACUGCGGGAUAACCUGCCGAAAGGCAGACUAAUACCGCAUGUUCUUCGAUGACGGCAUCAGAUUCGAAGCAAAGAUCCGUCGGUAACGGAGGGGGAUGCGUCUGAUUAGCUAGUUGGCGGGGCGACGGCCCACCAAGGCGACGAUCAGUAGGGGUUCUGAGAGGAAGGUCCCCCACAUUGGAACUGGGACACGGUCCAAACUCCUACGGGAGGCAGCAGUGAGGAAUAUUGGUCAAUGGGCGGAAGCCUGAACCAGCCAAGUAGCGUGCAGGAUGGCGGCCCUACGGGUUGUAAACUGCUUUUAUGCGGGGAUAAAGUGAGGGACGCGUCCCUUUUUGCAGGUACCGCAUGAAUAAGGACCGGCUAAUUCCGUG